rnacentral:rRNA from 1 species
UACAGAGGGGGCAAGCGUUAUUCGGAAUUAUUGGGCGUAAAGGGCGCGUAGGCGGCUUUGCAAGUGACGGGUGAAAUCCCUCGGCUUAACCGAGGAACUGCCUGUCAAACUGCAUGGCUUGAGACCGGGAGAGGUGAGUGGAAUUCCCAGUGUAGCGGUGAAAUGCGUAGAUAUUGGGAGGAACACCAGUAGCGAAGGCGG